rnacentral:tRNA from 1 species
GUGUUUGUAGCUCAAUGAUAGGGCAUAGGCCUUCCAAGCCUAUGACCGAGGUUCGAUUCCCCGCAGCCGCUCCA